CCUCCGUGGCUUUCCAGCCUGUCUGCCCAACCUGCUCCUGGUGACCAGCCAGCUCCCUGGAGAGACCCCAUGGGAGCCUACAUGGAGUCUGCAACACUGGCAGCCCCAGGGCUCUGGCUCACCUUCCCUGUCUCUCUCCCCCUUUGUCACCAGGACUCUGUCUACAUCUUCCGGGAAGGGGCCUUGCCACCCUAUAGGCAGAUGUUCUACCAGUUAUGCGACUUGAAUGUGGAAGAGUUGCAGAAGAUCAUUCACCGCAAUGACGGGGCAGAGAAUUCCUGCACAGAACGGGAUGGGUGGUGCCUCCCCAAGACCAGCGACGAACUCAGGGACACCAUGUCCCUCAUGAUCCGGCAGACCAUCCGCUCCAAGAGGCCUGCUCUCUUUUCCAGCUCAGCCAAGGCUGACGGCGGGAAAGAGCAGCUGACGUACGAGUCUGGGGAAGACGAGGAGGAGGAUGAGGAGGAGGAAGAGGAGGAGGAGGACUUCAAGCCAUCCGACGGCAGUGAAAACGAGAUGGAGACAGAGAUUCUGGACUACGUGUGACAGGGCCCAAGGCUGGGCCUCCCUGACCCGGCCAGACUGGUGUCUGGCCUAAUGAGGGAGCCGGGGCUCCCCAUUGCCGCCCACAGUGCCCGGAAUGGCCCUAGGAGGCCCUCUGAAGAGAGCUGGAGUCCCAGCAAAGGGUGCAGCUGA
rnacentral:sRNA from 1 species